rnacentral:rRNA from 1 species
UACGUAGGGGGCAAGCGUUGUCCGGAUUUACUGGGCGUAAAGAGCGUGUAGGCGCCAGACAGGUCCGUUGUGAAAACUGGAGGCUCAACCUUCAGACGUCACGGAAACCGUCUGGCUAGAGUCCGGAAGAGGAGAGUGGAAUUCCUGGUGUAGCGGUGAAAUGCGCAGAUAUCAGGAAGAACACCGAUGGCGAAGGCAGCUCUCUGGGACGGUACUGACGCUGAGACGCGAAAGCGUGGGGAGCGAACAGG